GACGAACGCUGGCGGCGUGCUUAACACAUGCAAGUCGAACGGAAAGGCCUCUUUCGGGGGGUACUCGAGUGGCGAACGGGUGAGUAACACGUGAGUAACCUGCCCUUGACUUUGGGAUAACUUCAGGAAACUGGGGCUAAUACCGGAUAGGAGCUCCUGCUGCAUGGUGGGGGUUGGAAAGUUUCGGCGGUUGGGGAUGGACUCGCGGCUUAUCAGCUUGUUGGUGGGGUAGUGGCUUACCAAGGCUUUGACGGGUAGCCGGCCUGAGAGGGUGACCGGCCACAGUGGGACUGAGAUACGGCCCAGACUCCUACGGGAGGCAGCAGUGGGGAAUAUUGCACAAUGGGUGGAAGCCUGAUGCAGCAACGCCGUGUGCGGGAUGACAGCCUUCGGGUUGUAAACCGCUUUCGCUCAUGACGAAGCUUUGUGUGACGGUAGUGGGUAAAGAAGCACCGGCUAACUACGUG
rnacentral:rRNA from 1 species